AGAGUUUGAUCUGGUUCAGAGCGAACGCUGGCGGCAUGCUUAACACAUGCAAGUCGCACGGGCAGGGCAACCUGUCAGUGGCGGACGGGUGAGUAACGCGUAGGUAUCUAUCCUUGGGUGGGGGACAACUGUGGGAAACUACAGCUAAUACCGCAUGAUAACUGAGGUUUAAAGGCGCAAGUCGCCUGGGGCGGAGCCUGCGUACGAUUAGCUUGUUGGUGGGUAAAGGCCUACCAAGGCGACGAUCGUUAGCUGGUCUGAGAGGAUGAUCAGCCACAUUGGGACUGAGACACGGCCCAAACUCCUACGGGAGGCAGCAGUGGGGAAUAUUGGACAAUGGGCGAAAGCCUGAUCCAGCAAUGCCGCGUGUGUGAAGAAGGUCUUCGGAUUGAAAAGCACUUUCGACGGGGACGAUGAUGACGGUACCCGUAGAAGAAGCCCCGGCUAACUUCGUGCCAGCAGCCGCGGUAAUACGAAGGGGGCUAGCGUUGCUCGGAAUGACUGGGCGUAAAGGGCGCGUAGGCGGAUGGCACAGUCAGAUGUGAAAUUCCCGGGCUUAACCUGGGGGCUGCAUUUGAUACGUGUUGUCUAGAGUGAGGAAGAGGGUUGUGGAAUUCCCAGUGUAGAGGUGAAAUUCGUAGAUAUUGGGAAGAACACCGGUGGCGAAGGCGGCAACCUGGUCCUUGACUGACGCUGAGGCGCGAAAGCGUGGGGAGCAAACAGGAUUAGAUACCCUGGUAGUCCACGCUGUAAACGAUGUGUGCUGGAUGUUGGGCGACCUAGUCGCUCAGUGUCGUAGCUAACGCGAUAAGCACACCG
rnacentral:rRNA from 1 species